ACCUGGGUCCGGCGCAGCGAGGUGGGACGGCAGUGCGCUCUGGAAUGUGCCAGCGCGGUCCCCGGGGUACGCCUCGCGGGAGGCCGGCGCUCUCGGUUCCAGAUGCUGCCACCAUUCUCGGGGAAGUUGGGAGUAGGGCCCCCUCUGGGAUGGUGUAAACUUAUUCAGCUUCAAAUGCAGCCCAGUAUCCUGCCCUAAGUUCCAGAGGACCAUUUUCCACAUGAAAAGUCUUACGGAUAGACAAACUUCCAUUCAAGCCAAUGUCAAGUUUUCAUUGCAAGAAAGUAGCAGCCGUGUUUAAGGGCUUGUUUCUGGCUAUGUUAAAGGACCAUCCUCUGAGGAAAGCAGAGGAGAGGAACUCCAUUAUCCUUACAGUGAAACGCAACCACUGCAGAAAAACUCCACUGAGUUCGCUCCAAAUGCUCAUCUUCUUCUUCGGCCCUGGAUGUCAGACAAACAGGACAAACAGGAAACAAAAUUAUUUUUCUUCGUGGAGGGCAGAGCAGCACUCCCCCGUCGCCCAGUAUUUGGAUCCCCAGCGGGAAUGGGGAGCACCAGGCCAGUGGGAGGCUGCCCCGGCCCUCCCGCGACCUCUGGAUUGAACUUUCCGCACACUUCUCGGCCCCUCGGCAGGUGGCCCAGCCUCGACCCGACCCCACUGCCCACUCACUGCUUCUCCUGCGCGUCCAGGUCCCUGACGAGCGCAUCGCGCUUGUUCACCAGGGCCACCAGCUCAUCUAGCAGAAGCUGUUCGCGUCGCUUCUGGGCCUCGGUCUUCUGCCAGUCUGCAGAAGACGGGAGGCUAGUUACCCACCGGCAGGGCCUCCGAACACCCGGCCCCCCGCCCUCCCCUUCCCGCCUUUUCCAGUUUCCUUAUAUUUCUCAGCAAACCACAUUAUAGAGCCACUAGCUAGUGUUUUCUGGGGAGUUUGGCUGUUGUGGUGAAGGCUUCCUCGCUAAAAGUCUACUUCCUAAACAGGUCCUGUGAAUGGAGAUGGCUGCAGCAGUGUUGGAACCUGCUUAGAACCAGGUGUGAACUGGUGGCUAGCCUGAGGUGCGCACCUGAAUCCAGCCAAAGUGGGGGAGGGGAGCUAGAGGCCCAGAAGAGGUUGGCCCAGGGGUUGGUAGUGGGGGAAGUGGGUAAAUGAGGAGGCGGGAAACAGUGAUGGGCGAUAAAAUCAUUCUGAAAAGGCUAGAGAAUCUGCCUGAGAACCUAUCCUCCUCCCCCACCCCCACUCUCACCCCAAACAGCCCAUUCUUCGCUAAUUUCCUCUUCGCUCUAUUUUAGCAGUUGGAUGUAUCUCACACUGGGCGCCAUAUGCUUCACAAUAACUUUAAAAGUAGUGAAUCGGCUAAUUAGCAUUUUUCUUUGAAGUAAAAAAUAAAUUUGCUCUGCAAUAUUACACUGCAGCUCUCGAUCGCAUCACAGCCAGUUUUCUUUUGGAGACGUUUGCUGGGUGGUUUCAAAUCAAAGCACUUUUGCAAAGGAAAAAUUACAUAUUUCUUUCUGAAACCCUAUGUUAAAGGUUGGAAAACCCGAUGGGCAGUGCUCUUUCCAUGGAUGGGGGGCGUUUUUUUUUUUUUUUUUUGAAGGUUUUAGACCCCAAUAAUAUAUUUCCUAAUCUUUGCUGGUCUGAUGAUUUCCUUAAGAUGAGCAGCAGUUUCAUUUAAUAGAAACAGGACCAAAUCGAACAUUUAAAACACUUUUGAAACCAAAGCCAACUGCUCUCUGGCCAGACUGUAAGGGCUUGUAGCUGUCAAUCAACCCCCAGUCUACCCCGCCUCCCUCAUUAGGAAGGUAAACAAUGAAAAGAAGAAGUAGAUGAUGAGGCAGAUAGCAGAACAAAUGAGGACCUAGAGGGAAACAGGACACCAGCUUAAAAAAAAAAAAAAAAAAAAAAAAAAAAAAAAAAAAAAAAAAAAAAAAAA
rnacentral:lncRNA from 1 species